CCUACGGGUGGCAGCAGUGGGGAAUAUUGGGCAAUGGGCGCAAGCCUGACCCAGCAACGCCGCGUGAAGGACGAAGGCUUUCGGGUUGUAAACUUCUUUUAAGAGGGAAGAGCAGAAGACGGUACCUCUUGAAUAAGCCACGGCUAACUACGUGCCAGCAGCCGCGGUAAUACGUAGGUGGCAAGCGUUGUCCGGAUUUACUGGGUGGAAAGGGCGUGUAGCCGGGCUGACAAGUCAGAUGUGAAAUUCAGGGGCUCAACCCCGGCCCUGCAUUUGAAAAUGUUGGUCUUGAGUAUCGGAGAGGCGGGCGGAAUUCCUAGUGUAGCGGUGAAAUGCGUAGAUAUUAGGAGGAACACCAGUGGCGAAGGCGGCCUGCUGGACGACAACUGACGGUGAGGCGCGAAAGCGUGGGGAGCAAACAGGAUUAGAUACCCCAGUAGUC
rnacentral:rRNA from 1 species